rnacentral:lncRNA from 12 species
CCGUGGUCUUGUACAAGCCAUAGACUCCUCGGAAACCUCAGUUUUCCCAUUUCUGGGGAAAUGGGGAAAAAAUUGAACCUACCUCAAGGCUUGUUGUAAGGAAUUACUGAGAUGAGCUGGAUGAAACAGUUCAACGUCUGGCACAUAGUAACAGCCCAAUAUCAUCGUUGUUUUGGGGAACCCUUUCGGGACGCUCAUUUAUAAGCGUCAGCGUUACCAAGAAAGGAUGAGGAGAAACAGGAUGUGAAAAACACCGAGGUGACAAAUAACUCCUAUCACAAUGAGGCUUGUGAUCAACUACCAGUCAACUCUUCAGGAGCAAGAUAUUUUAAAAUAGAUAUAAAAUGCUGCUGGGGGGACUUAGGUUAAAUACGAGGAAAACAGUUAACUGCGACGGCAACAAAGCACGAUGACACCUUACUCUGAGACAACGGCGUCUCCUUCUGAGAAGCUCUGCUGUAACAGGAGAUAUUUUCACCUUUUUAGGGUAGUGCACGUCAUGAGUGUGAUAAGUUAACUCUCAACAUCCUUUCAGCUUUAUGACUCAACAGUGGCUACCCCCCCUCCCCAAAAUAUAAACUCAAGGAGAUGAAAUCCAGAUUUCGGUUUAGAAGCCAUGCUAUUGAGACUACUGGCUUGCUUGUGAAAAGCCACAGCAAAAUUUUCAUUUCCUCCAAAACAAGAAAGGUCCUGGCCUGAGCAAAUGGAAGUAGAAAAGCCACCCUGAAAAGCUGUAACCCCCAGAGUCUGUGGGCAGAAGUGGGGGACGCCACAACGUUCAGGUUUCAACCGAAUACCUGCGGCUGUACUUACAGAAGGUGGCCAGGAGGACCCAUCGAUUUUGGCAAGUACCUGUGGUCUGAAAGGUACAAAUCAGAACUUUCACCACGUUCCAUCUGGCACUCGCUGGUGGCGCCAACACCUCAAAAGCCCUGCUCGGGCCAUUUGUCACCAUGUGGACACGCACAGACCACUAUGGAAAAUGGAAUUUUUGAACCACCCUGAAUGACCUGCCUGUAUGUGUAGACAGCCGUGGUCACCUUCUCUCCAUAUAUUGGUUGUGCGGACUCCAAUGUGGUUCCUAUUAUGCUAUUAUUUUCCGUUAAAAGUAAAAUGCUUUUGGGAAGCUGGACAUUUCUGAAGUGAGUUCACACCUACUCUCUCCCCUUACUUUCCAAAGGACCCACUCAUAACCCGAAUGUUAGCCAGUACGUAGCAAAAGGAAAAAAAACCUUUAUUACUAUUAUUGUUAUUACUGUCGAUUUUCCUUAGAAUCCCAAGGAAUUCACGUAAUUUAGAGCAAACCAUUAGAAGGAGAUCGUUAUUUUCAGUGUGACUCUUCCUGUGAAGGUCUGGAUUGAGAGCUCCCGCUGCCUUUCCUGGAAACGGAUGCUAGACUUUAAGAACAGUGAAUUUCCCUCCAACCACGUGAAAUGAUCACUGUGAUGUAAUCAGUAGUAGGAGUAAAUCUGUUAGGCUUUUGUCAUUUCUUCCUACUAUAUUUUUGUAGGUCCUCACCAGGGAUUACUUUACCAUUUUCAGCAGCAUUUUUUUUUCUUUGUAGCAUUAAUGAGGAAAAAUUGAGUAGUUCUCCCGUGGUAUUCCCACGUGACAAAAAUAUACCUAAGACCUCACAGUUCAGAAGGAAGAACCAGAAAAUAAUUAAUUAUUCCAUUGUAACUCCUGCCUCGAAACUAUCAGGAACCUAACAGAACAUUACAAAUCUACCCCCCGUGUUAGUUAUCUUUCUUAGGUGUGAAUCGUAUCUCCUCAUAUAAUAAGCUCCCCUAGGAGAAAGAGAUCACCAUUUAUUGAGAAUAAGCCAUGGGCCACCAUGUGUUUUAUUUCUGUGUGUUACCAACCACCCUAUGAGGUCAUUACAGAUGAGGGAAGUGUGGGAGGUUUGAGUCAUUCUUCCAAACGCAUUCAGUGAACAAGUAAUGUUUCCCACCAGCACCCCCCUCCCGCCUCCCGCAACCAACCCUCUGCUUGAGCUUGCCCAGGC